rnacentral:rRNA from 1 species
UACGUAGGGGGCAAGCGUUGUCCGGAAUCAUUGGGCGUAAAGAGCGCGUAGGCGGUCCGGUAAGUCCGCUGUGAAAGUCAAGGGCUCAACCCUUGAAUGCCGGUGGAUACUGUCGGGCUAGAGUCCGGAAGAGGCGAGUGGAAUUCCUGGUGUAGCGGUGAAAUGCGCAGAUAUCGGGAGGAACACCUAUGGCGAAGGCAGCUCGCUGGGACGUUACUGACGCUGAGACGCGAAAGCGUGGGGAGCAAACAGG